rnacentral:rRNA from 1 species
UGGGGAAUAUUGGGCAAUGGAGGGAACUCUGACCCAGCAACGCCGCGUGAAGGAUGAAGGUUUUCGGAUUGUAAACUUCUGUCGCGAGGGACGAAGAAUGACGGUACCUCGUAAGAAAGCCCCGGCAAACUACGUGCCAGCAGCCGCGGCAAUACGUAGGGGGCGAGCGUUGUCCGGAAUGACUGGGCGUAAAGGGAGUGUAGGCGGCCUUUUAAGUUAUAUGUGAAAUCCCGUGGCUCAACCAUGGAAGUGCAUAUAAAACUGGAGGGCUGGAGUGCAGGAGAGGUAAGUGGAAUUCCUAGUGUAGCGGUGGAAUGCGUAGAUAUUAGGAGGAACACCAGAGGCGAAGGCGGCUUACUGGCCUGUAACUGACGCUGAGGCUCGAAAGCGUGGGGAGCAAACAGG